AUGGUCGCCCCUAUUACACGAUUUAACAAUGAUGUUUCGGGAAGGCUUGCAAAAGCAUUUGUGUGUGUGUGUGUGUGUGUGUUUGUGUGUGUGUGUGUGUGUGUGUGUGUGUGUGUGUCCCUUGAGAGGACUGUACACACCCGGAAGGCUUGUGUUCCCACCGAGAGCUCCAGACCUGAACAACUUUGUCCAAGGGGCGAUUUCCAAACGGUGUUAAACUCACUGAGAAGUGUUGGACCCCCGUUGUCCCCUUCAGAUCGACCACCAACGAGGGCUCAACCUCCAGCAGCCAACUUGGACACCCUGGCUGUUGGACCUUCUAGCCAGCACAACGCACAAUUAGAUACACAAACACAGACUAUACACACCCACACAGAGUCAGCUUUGGACAAAAAUGAAUGCCUGUCUCCCACUCUUAGCCUCUUCAUAAACACCGCUAAACCAUGUGGAGCUGGCGCGCUACAAUAA
rnacentral:lncRNA from 15 species